GUCUAUGUAGUAUAUUAAUUACAUUGGUCUUGUAAACCAAAGAAGGAGAAACGCUUCUCCCAAAGACUC
rnacentral:tRNA from 1 species